GCUCUGUGUCUUUCUCCUCGGUCCUCCUCCGUCCUGCACUGCGCGAGGAGCGGCGAAGAGGUUGCAAGGUGACUGCUGCUGCACUUGCAAUGUGCGCACGAGUGACAAUAAUAAAGGCUGUGAGGUCCAAAGGCGGCGAGACAAAAGGAGGACGUGAACCUUUGAGACGGACGGUCAUUAUUGGCCCCCCCAGUACCCUGUCGCUUCACAUGUGUCUGCGUUGCAGAACAGAUAUAAAUUUUUUAGUUAAAUCCUUCCUCUUGGAGCCGUCUUUGACUGGCCCUGCUUGUUUGAUUGCAUGUCAAUGUUUGAUGGCUGAAUAUGUCUGCGUGUGACUACAAUGUUGGAGGCU